AUGCAGGUGAGCAAAGAGGACGUAGGACUGGAACACAUCCAUAAGCAUGGCAGGAGCAACCACUGCUGGAAGAACUGGGAAGAAUCUGCACACGGGGAGAAUGUUCAAACUAGAGGACAAGGAAGGACUAGCUGCGGGAGCAUCAAAGGCGACGUUCUCAGAUGGGCAACUCUGCCCCCCCAAGGGACAGCUGACAACGGAUGGAUGGAUGUGACGCUGUCACAGCUGCAGAGUCAUCUGUGUGGAUGAGAGAAAUGCACACCUCGGGGUUGGAGACACAGUUUGCUAAGGAAAGAUUCUGAGAUCACUUACCUGCCAUGACGCCUGCAGGUUGGUUUCCACAGCAAAGACCGCUC